UCAAACUUUGAGCUGUUAUUCCACUGGAAGCAAAAUUUCCGACUGUAACAAUUUUACUUGUGUUUAGAUACAAAUCAAAAUUUAAAUUAAACUUUGACCUUUUCUUGUUGGACUGUAACCGCAACGGCAUGGUUAUAUAAUAUUCCAUACACGCCCCAGGCUCUUGUCAUUAGUUGAAAUGCUCAUUUCCGGCAAAGAGUUGCGCAUUUUAAUUAAGUGGCAACGCCCACGACCCGCUCACCUCUGAGCCAACGGCCAACGCCCACCUGCGCUUGCAGUCGGUCGCAAAGUCGGGCGGCGUCUUCAUUUACAAGGCGCUAAUGCUAAUUGUAAGUGGAAUUAACGCAGAUUAGCGGCGAAUUUUUAAGGCGCAAACAUGCAAAACGCACAAUUAGUUCAACGGCUGUUAGGGACCUUGUAGCGGAUAUCCUGGCGACGAAAGGAUUAAAAUGUCGAUGCUUACUUGACGACAACAAAUUAGUUUUAAAGCUGGAAACGUGUGGGUUGCUCUACUAUUGUAUUUCUGUUCUGUUGACUUUCAUUUAGGCAAUUAAAUUGUUUUGAGCCACGGCGGAUUAAAGAGCAGCAAAAGUCAA